AUUUACAAAAGGCCGAUUCUCUGGGGAGUGGAGAGGCAGGAACGCAGCGUCUAUGAAGACUGGCCCAUUUGCAGAGCACUCCAACCAGCUGUGGAACAUCAGCGCCGUCCCUUCCUGGUCCAAAGUGAACCAGGGUCUCAUCCGCAUGUAUAAGGCCGAGGCCAGCCCCUCUGACACUUGGGGCCUCGGAAUCUCCCAUCUGGGGCAUGGGCAGUCAGAGAAGCACCAGCCACCCCAGCCCCGAAAAGCUGCAGUCCAGCUCUGUCCUGAUGAGCUUGGAGGCUGAGGCAAGGACCUGCUGCAUGGGGAGUGGGGGCGAUGGGGGCCUCCCUUCUCCUUUAUCAAGUGGCCAAAGGCUCCUCAAAGCUCGGGCAGUCUGAGUCUGGCUCUCCCAUGGCAUACCUGGGAAGGGUCUUACCCUUUGGAGGCAUCUCCAAAGUGCUGCCUUCAAAUGUUAGUGUGUAUGAUCACUGAGUGGUGGGAGGUCUGAGGGUAGGCCGAGAAUUGGCAUUUUUAUGGACCGCUUCAGGGAUUUUGAUGCAAAUGGUUUUCCCUGCUCUCAAAUCA
rnacentral:lncRNA from 1 species